AAAGGGAAAGAAAAGCCAAGAAUUAUGGACUUGGAGAUCGAGGUCAGGGAACCCUGCUUGGUGAUACGCACCGUCGCAACAAUUAUCAAAGUACAAAAAA